UCUUUUCUUUUCUUGUAGUUCUGUGUUGGUAGGGGAUAGUUUAGCUUGUCCAAUUGCUCUUUCUUUCUUUAUUUUUGAUCGGCAACAACAAAAAAGAAGAAUAUUAUUAUUAAUGAAAACAAAGAUUACAAGAAACUAGAGGACAAGGAAUCCUCCAAAGAAGUAAAAAGCAAAAUGAAAGUAACAACACAUCAUGCAGCCCUUCACACAGUCCAAUUGCUAUGUUUCCUUCACUUGACAUGAAAUUAGGUCACCAAAGUAGUGGCAUCUGUGUUUGCUGUUUGCUGUUUGUUGUUGAGCCCAUCUCGAUAUGAAACAUUAUAUCCAAAUGUGGAAUGCUGUCAAAGUUGUUUUUGAGGCUUUUUGUUUACUUACUUGAACCUCCUCGGGUUCACUUUCGAAAUAUAUCCUUCUGAUAAAUGAUGUAUGUGUGGAAUGUGUUUUCUCACAGAUUUGGCAAUUCCAAUAUCCCAAUCUUAAAUUCUUCCAUUUGUAAUCUGUCAAAUUAGCUUUACCUUGAUUAUUUUUCUCUUCCUUUGCUGAACUAUGCUGUUACACUCUAGAUUUGUUUAAUUUUUUUAUUUAUUUAUAUUUUUUAUAAAACCAUUGUUGUUCCUUUAAUAAGUACUGUUGAAUUGAUCCUUUUAAAAUCAACAUAGUUGUAAACUUCUGUCUACUAUUUAUGCAAUAUGCUGCUUUGUUUGCUUUAUUUGCAGUAAUGUCCCCUGGAAGAAGUUCACCAGUAAGCUUCCAGGGUUCCCCAGAAUCGAUUCAAGCAGCCAACUCCGGUUUUGCCUCGGUUGGCUACCACCAGAAUACAUCUGCAAGUGAUGCCAGUAAUUUUGGUUCUGGCUCACCAAUUUUGGCGGAGCUGGUUUUUGGUUCAGAUCCUGUGCUGAGGUGAGAUAAGAUGCAGGAUGAAAUGGUAGAUCUAUGGGAAUUGAAUUGAAAGUUCGUAGCCAGUCUAUAAUGAAGAAUGGUCCUUGCAGUUGUGCCAACCGAUCUUUACAAUUCGCAGCUUCUUCACCAUUGUUUGUUAAUCAAGAUCAUGGGGUGAGUUAAAAUACCACACAUGCUCGGGUAUAUGAAGGAUUGAAUUGUUGCCUUGACAACCAACCUGGCCAAAUUGUUUUGCCACGGUUUUGCCUGUGAAGGUGGUGUGCAGGUGUUUUCCAAGUGUUUGGCUCUGCAAAUUUUAGAGAGAAUCACUAGAUGUUACCCAUUUUCUUGUUUGUUGAAUGUGUAUUUUAUAUUAUUCAGAUUCAGCCAGGAAGCCAAAUUAGUACCACCACUGAUGCUUGUUCUAUAGUAAUCAAUUUUUAUUGAACAAUGGAAGCUAAUUUUUUGUUCUAAUGAAUCAUAUGAUGACAAUGUCGUGUAUACAUUGUUUGACAUCUCCAA